rnacentral:rRNA from 1 species
AACGAACGCUGGCGGCAGGCUUAACACAUGCAAGUCGAACGCGUGUAGCAAUACACGAGUGGCGCACGGGUGAGUAACGCGUGGAUAUCUGCCUUUUGGUUCGGAAUAACCCCGGGAAACUGGGGCUAAUACCGGAUGGUUCCUUCGGGAUAAAGAUUUAUCGCCAAAAGAUGAGUCCGCGUACGAUUAGCUAGUUGGUGAGGUAAUGGCUCACCAAGGCGACGAUCGUUAGCUGGUCUGAGAGGACGAUCAGCCACACUGGGACUGAGACACGGCCCAGACUCCUACGGGAGGCAGCAGUGGGGAAUAUUGGACAAUGGGGGCAACCCUGAUCCAGCCAUGCCGCGUGAGUGAUGAAGGCCUUCGGGUUGUAAAGCUCUUUUGGCGGGGACGAUGAUGACGGUACCCGCAGAAUAAGCCCCGGCUAACUUCGUGCCAGCCGCCGCGGUAACAC